GGAGAAAGAUAGGGACUCCGAUUUAUCGGGGCCUGUCGCUUAAGGAGAGGCUCUUGUCCUAUUAGCCUGUUGGCGAGGUAAUGGCUCACCAAAGCUAUAAUGGGUAGCUGGUCUGAGAGGAUGGUCAGCCACACUGGGACUGAGACACUGCCAGACUCCUACGGGAGGCUGCAGUCGAGAAUCUUUCGCAAUGGGGGAAACCCUGACGAAGCGACACCGCGUGGAGGAUGAAGGCCUUAGGGUUGUAAACUCCUGUCACUUGGGAUGAACAGCAGAUUUGUUAAUAGCAGAUCUGCCUGACAGUACCUUGAGAGGAAGCUCCGGCUAACUACGUGCCAGCAGCCGCGGUAAUACGUAGGGAGCAAGCGUUGUUCGGAUUUACUGGGCGUAAAGGGUGUGUAGGUGGUCGAGUUAGUCAGUUGUGAAAGCCUUCUGCUCAACAGGAGAAUUGCAAUUGAUACUGCUUGACUAGAGUUCGGUAGAGGAGAGCGGAAUUCUCGGUGUAGCGGCGAAAUGCGUAGAUAUCGAGAAGAACACCAGUGGCGUAGGCGGCUCUCUAGCCCGAUACUGACACUGAAACACGAAAGCGUGGGUAGCGAACGGGAUUAGAUACCCCGGUAGUCCACGCCGUAAACGAUGGGCACUUGGUGUAGGAGGUAUCGAUCCCUUCUGUGCCGAAGUUAACGCGUUAAGUACCCCGCCUGGGGAGUACGGCCGCAAGGCUAAAACUCAAAGGAAUAGACGGGGGCCCGCACAAGCGGUGGAGCAUGUGGUUUAAUACGACGCAACGCGUAGAACCUUACCAGGGCUUGACAUGCUGGUGGUACUGACUCUGAAAGGAGGAAGGACCCUUCGGGGAGCCAGCACAGAUGUUGCACGGCUGUCGUCAGCUCGUGUCGUGAGAUGUUGGGUCAAGUCCCGCAACGAGCGCAACCCUUAUCCUUAGUUGCCAUCGGGUAAUGCCGGGGACUCUAAGGAGACUGCCUGUGAUAAGCAGGAGGAAGGUGAGGAUGACGUCAAGUCAUUGUGGCUCUUACGCCCUGGGCUACACACGUGCUACAAUGGUCGGUACAAUGGGUCGCAAGACCGCGAGGUGGAGCCAAUCCCCAAAAGCCGGCCCCAGUUCGGAUUGGAGUCUGCAACUCGACUCCAUGAAGUUGGAAUCGCUAGUAAUGGCGCAUCAGCUACGGCGCCGUGAAUACGUUCCCGGGCCUUGUAC
rnacentral:rRNA from 1 species